rnacentral:rRNA from 1 species
AUUGAACGCUGGCGGCAGGCCUAACACAUGCAAGUCGAGCGAGCGGCGGACGGGUGAGUAAUGUAUGGGGACUGCACGAUAGAGGGGGAUAACUACUGGAAACGGUGGCUAAUACCGCAUACUAUCGGAUAACCCAUAUGGGAUUGGCUAGUAGGUGGGGUAAAGGCUCACAUAGGCGACGAUCUCUAGCUGGUCUGAGAUGAUGAUCAGCCACACGUGGACUGAGACACGGCCAAGAAUCCUACGGAGGCAGCAGUAGGGAGUAUUGCACAAUAGGGACAAGCCUGAAGCAUCGAUGCCGCGUGUAUGAAGAAGUCCUUAGGGGUGUAAAGUACUUUCAGCGGGGGGGCGUUAUCCGCAGAAGAAGCAACAGCUAACUCCGUGCCAGCAGCCGCGGUAAUUC